rnacentral:rRNA from 1 species
AGAGUUUGAUCCUGGCUCAGGAUGAACGCUGGCGGCGUGCCUAAUGCAUGCAAGUCGAACGGGAUUCAAGGGACUUGUCUCUUGAUGAAAGUGGCGGACGGAUGCGUACCUCUUCUAUGACCUACCCCGGAGAGGGGGAUAACCGCUGGAAACGGCGGCUAAUACCCCGGAUGUCAAAAGGGUUAGAGCCUUUUGACUAAAGGCAAAGGAAGCGAGGCGACCGGCGUGCUCUGGGAGGGGUCUGCGGCCCAUCAGCUAGUUGGAAGGGUAACGGCCUACCAAGGCAAAGACGGGUAGGGGGCGUGAGAGCGUGGCCCCCCACACUGGUACUGAAACACGGACCACAUACCUGCGGGUAGCACCAGCAAGGAAUAUUGCUCAAUGGGGGAAACCCUGACCCACCAACGCCACGUGGAGGAAGAAGGCCUUCGGGUUGUAAACUCCUUUUCUGGGGGAAGAAGGGCUAUGAUAAAUAGCCUUGACGGUACCCCAGGAAGAAGGCCCGGCUAACUACGUGCCAGCAACCGCGGUAAAACGUAUGGGCCGAGCGUUAUCCGGAAUUAUUGUGCGUAAAGCGCGUGCAGGCGGGCGCUUAAGUCGGACGUGAAAGCUCCUGGCUCAACUGGGAGAGGCCGUUCGAUACUAGGCGUCUAGAGGGUGGUAGAGGCAAGUGGAAUUCCCGGUGUGAUGCUGAAAUGCGUAGAUGUCGGGAGGAACACCAAUGGCAUACGCUGCUUGCUGGGCCAACACUGACGCUCAGACGCGAGAGAUAGGGGAGAGAGCGGACUUAGAUACCCCCGUAGUCAUAGCAGUAAAUGAUGUCAGCUAGGCGUUGGUCUGUGUAGAGGGCUCUGGGCUGCCGACAUCGCAAUAAGAUCACUGCGUGGGGAGUACGGCCUCAAGGGUAAAACUCUAAAGAAUUGACGGGGGCCCGCACAAGCAGCGGAGAGCAUGGUGUAAUUUGAGGAUACGCGAAGAACCCUUUCAGGGUCUGACACGUCGGUGGUAGGGAAGCGAAAGCGGACCUACCCUUCUGGGAGCCGACUCAGGCAGUGCAUGGCUGUCGUCAGUUAGUUCCGUGAGGUGUUAGGUUAAGUCAUUUAACGAGCGCAACCCACGUCCUUAGUUACAUGUGUCUAGCGAGACAGCCGCUGAUAAGCCGGAGGAAGGUGUGGAUGACGUCAAGUCAGCAUGGCCUUUAUAUCUUGGGCGACACACACGCUACAAUGGCCGGUACAAUGGGCAGCGAAGUCGCGAGGCGGAGCCUAUCCCGCAAACCCGGUAUCUGUUCGGAUUGUAGGCUGCUACUCGCCUGCAAGUAGUCGGAGUUAGUAGUAACCGCAGGUCAGCCACAGUGCGGUGAAUUCGUUCCCGGGCCUUGCACACCCCGCCCGUCCAGUCAAGGAAGGUGGCAACGCCGGAAGUCGGUGGGCUAACCGCAAGGAAGCAGCCGCCUAAGGCGGGGUCGGUAACUGGGACGAAGUCGUAACAAGGUAGCCGU